rnacentral:rRNA from 1 species
AUGAACGCUGGCGGCGUGCUUAACACAUGCAAGUCGAACGAUGAAGCCCAGCUUGCUGGGUGGAUUAGUGGCGAACGGGUGAGUAACACGUGAGUAACCUGCCCUUGACUCUAGGAUAAGCCCGGGAAACUGGGUCUAAUACUGGAUAGGAACGUCUACCGCAUGGUGGGUGUUGGAAAGAAUUUCGGUCAUGGAUGGACUCGCGACCUAUCAGCUUGUUGGUGAGGUAAUGGCUCACCAAGGCGACGACGGGUAGCCGGCCUGAGAGGGUGACCGGCCACACUGGGACUGAGACACGGCCCAGACUCCUACGGGAGGCAGCAGUGGGGAAUAUUGCACAAUGGGCGAAAGCCUGAUGCAGCGACGCCGCGUGAGGGAUGACGGCCUUCGGGUUGUAAACCUCUUUCAGUAGGGAAGAAGCGAAAGUGACGGUACCUGCAGAAGAAGCACCGGCUAACUACGUG